ensembl:lncRNA
GUGCCUAAUGACAAUCAACGUGUGAUACAAAUAUAUAUGUACAUGUCACAACAUAAUGGAAUUUAAAUAGGAUUUGACUAGAUUGCUCCAAAUUGCUCUCUUACUGUAAGUGGAAGAAUGCUGUAUUUUCAUGAGGAGAGAUGUUGUAUUCUCAUGAUGAGAUCUAAAAUAUACAAACAUAUUAGCAGAAAUUUGAUCAAUUAUCUGUUGAUUCUUUAUUGGAUAAAUGCAUUGGGACAGCCAUUUGACUUUCAGGGAAGGACAACAAACUGGGACAGAAUGGUGUAUUAAUGUGUACAACUUUUAUCCAAACAUUAUAAAUACAGAUCUACACAGCGCCUUUAUUCCUGGCCUCAUUCAGUUUGGAGUGACAUUGCACGCCAUCCAGGAAAAACAACUUGAAAGUGCUCGCACAGGUGGUCAUGUGAUUUGCAGUGACAUAAACAUGUACUCCAAAUUAAAAUAAAUACAUCUUCCAAUUAAAGGUACAGACAACCAUUUCUAACACAAAAAGUACCAGAAGUAGUUUCCACUAUUACCCCUCAGGGACAGAUGAGACCUUCCUUAAAUACUCUCCUCACAGCUUGUCCAUAGUACUUCAUAGUGUUUCAGAAAAGUGUUAGGAUACCCAGUGACAUUGUAGCCGACAUACAACUAAAUGAGUGUGGCAUUGUCGAGCUUGUGGAGUAUUGAAAAGGCUGAAAGUUAUUAAACAGGAAAGAUGAUAAAAUUGUACAAUUUCACACAAAGACCCACCUCUAAUGGACAAUUACAUUUGCAAUAAUUCAUAGACAUUCAUCAUGUCAUGUUGGGCGGCACAGCCUCCCUUGAUACACCGGGAUUUAAAACUCAAGCCUCUAGAUUAGGACCAGUUCAAGAUCUUCUACUCCCUGAAGUAGGCAGGUUCGAGGGCUUAUGGUAACAGUCCGAUGGUGUGGGGUUGGGGCUCGCAUUCAUUCCCGUUGGGAUAUAAUACAUGCUCUCCAGGUAGCCCUGAUCCAGAGGUGGCUGGUUCUGGUUCUGCAGCUCAGACUUUGGUACCUGGCCUCCUGGAGGAGUCCCAUAACCUAUGCUGUUCUGAUGAAGCGUCGUAGGGACGGGGGGCUCAGCAUUUCGAGGAGGGUGAGUAGCUUGGGGAUGGGUUGGGACAGAGUAAGGGAGGUACUGAGGGGAGUACAUACUUGGCCCAUGCAUGGAGGAGUAUGGGGCAGCAGGUGGGGAGUACAGGCUGGAGUGGGAUAGAGCCUGCUGGGGGAUAAGCACCUCCACAUACUGGCCAGUCUCUGGGUCAAACAGCAUCUUUCUGAGGGGUUGCAUCGGUACCUCAAUGUAGAAAUACUUCCCUGUGUCAGGAUCUAGGAGAACACGUCGAGGACCUUGCCCAUAUCCAAGUCCCCCUGUACUGUCCGGGUACAUCACGUUACCACCCCCCGGCCCAUCAGGCCCAUACUCUGAGCCAUAGGAGGAGGCCAGGUCUUGUGGACUGCAGAGGUACUGGGGUCGAGACUCCAUGGGGGGCAUGUUGGAUGGAUGGACAUGGUCACUGUAUGGCCCACCACUAGCACCUGAUGCGUGCUGCUGCUGCUGUGGAGGAUGAUGAUGGGCAGGGCGCCGGUCCACAUGCUGCUGUCGCUCGUCUCCACACGGCUGCAGAAGUGGCCCAGGACAGGCAGGUGGGUGAUGGACUGGCUGAAACAUGGCUGGAGGUGGUGCGGUGGGGCUCAGCAUGGGGGCUUUAGGUGAGCCUGGUUUAUAGCUCAGAGGUUGACCAUCUGGUCUGCACUGAUGAGGACGGACCUGGGCUUGAGGUGGGGCCCCGGGGUAAGGUAGAGACUGUCCCGGGGAGUGCGGGGGGGCGAUGGGAGGAGUGCGAGUGUGCGGGCUGAGGCGGGGAUGGCCAGGAUGGGAGGAACAACUGGUGCCGCAAGAGCAUGGCGGAGGCCUGGAAUUUGGAUGGUACCGAUUUGAUCUUUUGGGAGGUAAGUCUGACAGGAGGUAAGGGCUGAAACUCUCGCGGUCAUCAUAGCUGGGUGGGUCAUCCGAAGCAUAGAAAUGGAGAUCCUCUGUUUGAAACUGAUUAUCAGCUGAUUUCACAGCUGGGUGCUGUGUAUAGCUGGGGGCUUGUGGUAUGAUUGGCCCCACUGUUUGGAUAGAACCACUGGAGCUGGCUGGCAGCCCCUGGCAUGGCAUAUUGGAUGCCCCAGGGUUGCUUGAUUUAUCCAAAAUGAUGGGUUGUCCUGGGACCUUUGAUGUGAAAACUGUUGGCAUCUGAGUUGUAUUGGCUUGUGACGUAGGUACUGCAUGUAGCUGCUUGUCUUUCAAAGAUUCAACCACAGCUGUUUGCUGAGUCAAGCUGGAUACUGCUGCCAUUUUGUUUGGGGGAGGCCUGUAGCUUGAUCGGGCUGAUACUGCUAAUUUAUUUGUGUGGACUGGUGGUGCUGGUUUUGUCCCUGGCUCACCAGGAGCAACUGCUUCAAACUUUCUUUCUUCUGUACUCUGAUUUUUGUCCAUUGCAGGUUGGGGUUUGUCUGCUUUUGUUUUGUCAUUUGAUACUGACUUCAUCUCUAUCAAGGGUUGCUUGCAGCUUGGUUUUGGUUUAGGCCUGUCAUAUGAUAUGGAUCUAACCUGUAUAGGAAGCUCUAUCUCUUUUGAUGUCUUUUGCGAUGCAGGUGCAUUCCCUUCUACACGGACAGGCUUCACCUCUGUAACAGGCUGGCUUUUGCCUGUUACCACUGGCGACGCUGUUUCUUUUCUGAUGUUGAUAACCUGAGGAACUCCCAAGUCAGGCAGUUCCUGCGCUUCUCUUGUCGGUGAUGACUGUUUAUGAUUUUCCUCAAAUGUAACCUUGGGAACUGUCUUCUCCUGCCCUUGUGGCUUUGGGGAGCUCCUGUGUUUGGGCCCAAUCUCCUCAGGACUGGGCAGCCUCGGAGACGAAGCAGUCGAGUGUUGGGCUGUAUCUCCCCCCUUUCUGUGCGUCUCUCCUGCGGUGCCAUCCAUGCAGGAGGUCUGUAGUGGCACCUCAAUUCUAUUAACAUGUUUACGAGGGUUGCUAGCACCUUCGCUGACGCUGUCACAUACCCCAAUGUCAGCUUGCAUUCCCUUUUCCUUUCGUAUCAUAGACACAGAGUGGCUGCUGCUUGGGACUGCUAACCGAGGGGAAGGUGGGGCGUCUGGAUUUGGAAUGCCUUUGGAUGAGCCAUCUGGCUGAAAUACAAGUUUUGACACUUCCCUAUCCUUACUGGGGAUUUUGGGUAAACUGCCCAACUUUGGGUGUCGACCAGCCUCAUUAGAGACCUUCUCCAUUUGACCGGAUGCAUCUAAAACAGUGUUGGUGCCCAUUCCUGGGGUAUCUGGUUCUUUGUGUGGCAAGUCUGAAGUCAACGUGUUGGCUUGAGUUGUCUUAGCAGGGAUUUGGAGGGAUCCUGUCUGUUGGUUCAUUUCUGUGGACUCUUGUUGUAGAUCUGUAUUUGACGUGUCCACAGGCAUGUCAUUGUGUUGAGAGGGUUGUUUGUUAUCCUUCCUGUUGAUAGCUCUGCAUUCUAUCUGCAUUGGGACAGGUUUCAUUGGUCCUGUCUCCUCCUGCCUCAGUGAUUCAAUCUGCAUCGGGACAGGUUUCAUUGGUACUGUGUCCUCCUGCUUCAGUGAUUCAAUCUGCAUCGGGACAGGUUUCAUUGGUACUGUCUCCUCCUGCCUCAGUGAUUCAAUCUGCAUCGGGACAGGUUUCAUUGGUCCUGUCUCCUCCUGCCUCAGUGAUUCAAUCUGCAUUGGGACAGGUUUCAUUGGUACUGUCUCCUCCUGCUUCAGUGACUCAAUGGCAUGUGGUGGCACAGCAGGGGUGGCUGCUUUAAAAGAAAGGUUAUAUGUAUUUUUAACAAGUCUUCUGACGUCCCUUACUUUAUGUAUGGGUUUCCUUAUUUUGUUUGUAUCACAUUCAUCCUCUGUCUGCUCUGUCUCAACCUCUAAUUCGGGCUCCUCCUGUUUCUCCUCCAGAGCUCUUUCCUGGCGGUCACCAGCCUUUCUCUCCAGACCAGGUGACAGAGACACUUUCACUGAGGACUGUUUUCUCUCCUUGGGCACGCAGGGCUUCAGCAUGAUUUCUGGUGUUUUGGACAUGAACACGCUCCUGCCACUGUGUUGUUUAUGAUUUUCCGGUCUCGCGUGGCAUUCCUGGUCCCUGUUUAUCAUUCCACUUGGCAUGCCCAAGGCUCGGGUGGCAGUUGUGCCUGUGUUCCCGACACUGACAUUCGCUGAGUCACGGCUGUGCUUGUCACCGGGGUUACGGUUAGCCGCCUGCUUUCCACCAUUCCACGAGUCCUGUUUCUCCGUUUUCUUGCCCUCCAAAGGGAAAGGACUUUCUUUCCUGACUUUAUUUUUGUGUUGCGGUUCGGGCCUCAUGGAAAUAUCUUGAGGAAGAGGAGGAAGAAUGUAAUGCAGUGGCUUUGGAGGCACUUUGGGCGCAAGACCUCUUUGGUGUUUAGCCCCUUGGGGUGGACUUCGCUCCUCCUUGACAGGUGGGUUCAUAGGUGGCAGACUGUUGUCUGAAAGUUGGCUGGACUUAACGUUGUCGGAUUUUGAGUGCUCUCUCUCAGGAGGUGGGGUUAUACUCUCAAAGGGGUCGUUUGUGUCUUCAGAUGGACUUAAAUCCGCUUUACGGUGUGCAGUUUGGCUGCUCUCACCUUUUCGCAUUUUCUUUGACAGUACAUUCUUAAUAAGACAUGAGGCAACUUUUGAUUUGCUUGAUGUCUCGUCCAGGGACGAGGACUUCUGCAUCCUCGGUUUUCUGUCAGUUUGAUCAGCCUCAGGGCUAUCUGUUGUCAUUUCCUCCUCCAUUGUCACUGGUGUACUGUGCUGCCGCGCUAAGGUAUCAUUGAACCGUCUCUCUGUAGAGGGAGAACCCAAAGCACACUCUGUGUUUUCCUGGGUCUUUGGUUCAUUGUUGUCACGUCUCUUGAGCUGAAUCUGCCUUUUGGGAACGGUCCUUUUCCCCUUCCUGGCCUCCUCUCUGCUCUCCAGAGCUACAUCUACACACUCAAAACUGCCCAUUUCAAAACGUCUAGAGGGAUCCAAGCCGCCCAGGGGUGGCACAUAGGAAGGCUGACGUGGAACAUCGUCACCUUCACCUUGAGAUGAGCCACGAAGGUCUGCAUAGGAUAACCAUGCUGUACCACCUGGGCUCUCCUGAGUGGAUGGCUGUGAGGCAUUUGUAGACGACCUGUGGCUAGAGUUGUACACGUCCAGGUAAUCCACCUGAGGGCUCGAGAGGCUUCUGAACGCCACGUCUGUCAGCCACUUCACCUCACUGUCAGCCUCAUCAAACUCGCUCCCCAUGCUGGAGGUCUCCCUUGUGUGAGCGCUAGAAAGGCGGCCAACCCCGGUGUUAUUGCUCCCGGGGACUGCUUUUAGCCUCCUGGCACCACCCUUGUUCUCUUGCUGUAAGGUCUGAGUUCUUAUCUGACUCUGUUGCUGUUGCUGUCGAGUUGCGAGGAGCCACUCUGAAUAAGAGCGAGCAGGAAUCCCCAGCUUGGGAUCUCUGCUUGUGGGAGCUGCGCUGGAGCUGGAGCUGGCAGGCCCUUUUCUAUUCCUGGCACUGAAUGACAGCUCAACCUGUUCCCCUCUGUAACCCUCCUUUCUGCUCCUCCCCUCCCCCUUCACUGACGCCUUCCUCUCCUCACCCUCUCUGGCCCUGUACUCCUCCCCGCCCUGGCAUGGCCGGCGGUCAUAUUCUCCACUGCCGUCACCAUGGCGGACAGUGGGGCUUUCCCUGCAUGUCAAUCCCAUGUGGCCUGCCCUCACACUGGUACCUACCAAUUGCCUUUCAAAGGUUUCUGAGUUCCACCUUUCAUUUCCUCCCAACUCCUAUGCUGCUCCACUUUAGAAGCCAUUUCAGAAUGGGACCAAGCUACUGGGUUUAAAGGAUUCUCACAGUCUAUUAAUUUAGAUUUAGUUUCUGUGAUUUUGUUAGUGUCUCCUGGCCUUGGUGUUGGGUAUUUCCUUAAGGAUUUAGAAGAGGGACUUGUUGGCUGGUUGAUUUGGCUGCAUUGAUGGGUUGGGGAUGCACUUAUGUAUGAAUGAGCAACCAGCCCACACAUUUCUUGUUCUUGUAACUCAUCCUUUGAGUCAGGUUCAAAUAAAGGGGUUGUACUUUUGCUUUUAAACGAGAGAGGAGACUCUUGUUGUCCUUUGCUUAUAAUCUCAGAAGAGGGGCUAGCUCCACUUUUAGCAAUGAUUGGUGAACGAUGACAUCCUUCAGACUUUGGAGAAGUGGCCAAAUGAACUGGUGAGACCCCAACAUAUCUUUUUUCAGGUGAGCUUGAUUUCACUCGUUGCCCAGGUGAGCUUGAUUUCACUCGUUGCCCAGGUGAGUAUGACCGAAGAGGUGAAUAAUUUCUUGCAGCGAUAAACGGUGACAGGGUUCUAUUCUGUAAAUCUGGAAAGGAUGCUGUGUCUUUCACUGGGGACCACAACUCAAGAGAGCAUUCUGAAACACUCUGUUCUGGCUCAGGGGUGACAUUGCUUAGCUCAGGUGAAGAGCAAAUGUCCUUCAGCUCAGAGAAGGGGGUCGUAUUUCUGGUCUCAGCCAACAGACUGAAGCUUCCAGGGCUUCUGAGAGAUAGACGGUCUGGUGAUUGGGCCAUGCUCUUCAUCUCCGUUGGUAAAUAACUGCAAGUUAUACCCCUCAUUUCAGGUGACUCUGCCAUGAUCCUACCAUCAGAUGAUGCAACACUGUAUGUCAAACCUGUUACCUGAGGUGAGGUUGUACUUCUGAAAGGUGAAGGGGUUCUAUUUGUGAGGUCAGGUGAUAGAUUUCCCCGGUUUGCCUGUGUGGUAAUGCUCACCUCCGGUGUUAGGGUCAUUCUUCUUGAAUCCAGUGGGGAGGCACCGUGGCCAAAAUGUGGUGAGCUAGACAUGUCUCUAGAUUCAGGAGAGUAGCUUAUUCUCACAUUUUCUGAGGGAGAGGGUGUCGUUCUGGGCUCAGCUGAGUAAGUUAUCUGUAUUUCAGGUGAAGGACAGGUAGGAUUAUACAUUGGUGUUGGGGAUUUUAAAACAAAUUCAGGUGAUAUAGCUAUUAUUGGGUGUUCAGGAGACUGAGUGAUUUGAGUAGGUUCGGGGGUAGAAGUGACAGAAGAAAUAUCUGUGGUCUUGGGAGAAGUUGCAAUUAAUAUCGGUCCUGGUGUACUAGCCACCGCUAUAGGCUCAGGUGAAUUAGGGAUUACUGAAUGCUCAGGUGAAUUAGGGAUUACUAAAUGCUCAGGUGAAUUAGGGAUUACUAAAUGCUCAGGUGAAUUAGCUUCAAGCUCUGGUGAAGUGGCAAUCACAAUAGGCUCAGUUGAAAUAGCUUCAAGUGAAUUAGCAGUUCCGUUGGGCUCAAGUGAUUUAGCUACAAAUUUAAGAUCAAAUAAAUCAGUGGGCUCAGGUGAAAUGACUAUUACAGUACAGUCCGGUGAACUACUGAAUUUUGUGGGUUCUGGUGAAGAACAAUAAGCUACUAUUUCAGGCUCAGGUGAAUCAGAAAUGAUUGUGGGUGCAGGCGAAGUGAAGUUAGUUGCUAAUUCAAGUUUUGGUGAAUUAACAAUUUCUGUGUAUUCAGUUGAAAUGAGGUUAGCUGCUAAUUCAGGUUCUGGUGAAUUAACAAUUUCUGUGUGUUCAGCUGAAGUAAAGUUAGUUGCUAAUUCAAGUUCUAGUGAAUUAACAAUUUCAGUGUGUUCAGGUGAAGUGAGGUUAGGUACUAGUUCAGGUUCUAGUGAAUAAACAAUUUCUGUGUGUUCAGGUGAAGUUAGGUUAUUUACUAGUUCAGGUGAAAUGAGAUUAGCUGCUAAUUCAGGUUCUGGUGAAUUAAUUAUUUCUGUGUGUUCAGGUGAAGUUAGGUUAUUUAGUAGUUCAGGUGAAGUGAGGUUAAUUGGUAGUUCAGGUUCUGUUGAAGUAAUUCCUGUUGGUUCAAGCACUAUUCCUGAACUAAUGACUUCUGAGGGUUCCAGUGAAUAAAAGUUAGGUAAUAUUGUAGGCUCAGGAGAAUUAGUGAGGACUGUGGGCUCAGGUGUGGAAGGGUAAGGUAAUUCUUCAGCCUCAGGUGAACCAGUAACUGCUUUGUGUUGAAGCGAACUUGCGUCGGCUAUAGGCUCAGGUGAAUGUGUGAUUAACACGUGCUCAGAUGAAGGGGAGCUUGCAGCUUCUGUAGGCACGGGUGAAUUAGUGAUUACAGGUAAAUUAGUGAUCACAGGUGAAUUAGUGAUUACAGGUGAUACAGAGACGCUACCGCUUAUUUCAUUUGAGGGGAUGGUGUGUAUUGUUUCAAUAUGGGUUACCUCAAACCCUACCUCAGAGGAUUUGGCUGUAAGGUUUUGUUCACUCACAAAACUUGAAGUCCAGGCUUCUGAAGAACUGGAUGUUUUCUGAUGUCCAGACAGGGAGACUGUGUCAAUUGUCCCUUCCAGUAGUCUAUCAGUAGAGCUUGUUGGUGAUUGAGAUCUAUCCUCAGUUACAAAAGCUUUGUCCCCCGGAUCAUGUGAAGACGCUAUGGGGUUACCAAGCUGGUGUGGUAUAAUAGGAGAUACAGGUAUGGGACUGAUGUCUUUGAGUUUGAGUGAAUCUCUUAUAUUCCCUUUUUCGGAAAAGAAUAGGGGACUGUCUCUUGAUUCAGGUAUGAUUGAAAAUACAGGAAUUAGACAAAUAUUUCUUCUAUCAAGGGGAGAGACUAAAUCUCCAAACUCAUCUUGAAUUGAGAAAUCAUCAUUCGUCUCAGAUGUAUAGGUUGCGGUUGGCUGUAUUGCCGAUUCUAUUGAGCUUGUUACGGGCUUCCCACUUUGAGAUGUGUCUGUGGGGCUGGUCACUCCUGCACUGUGGGUUUUACUCUUAGAGGAAGAGCUAUAUUUCAGCUCAGGAGAAGAAGCUUUGCUCCUGAAUUCAGGGGAGGGUGAUACAAUGUCGUGCUCUGUUAGCAGACCACCACCUAUGGAAUAAACGAAUGCACUGGAAGGUCCAUUAAUGGGAGAGGACUCUGUCAAGGAACAUGAAUUUACUCCUUGAGUUUCAGGGGAAGCACCAGUGCUUGCUGGACCAGAGUGUGAUUCUAGAUAGUCAGCUUUUUGCGAAGGCUUGCUUGUAUCCAGACCAUCUGAUAAUGCUGUUGCUGAUCCAGAUGAAUUCAGAUUGGUUUUGAGUGUGCAGGGAGAAGCCUCUUUUGUAUCCUCAAAUGUAUCAGUCGAGUCACUGGAGCGCUCUGAGGAGUUGGCUGUGUGAUAGGAUCCUGAUGAGUCGUUGGUGUCGUCCACAGGUCUCACUUCAUCCGGCUCCCUUUUAAGAAUUGAUGUGGAGGCCGGGCUACAGGCGAGGGAAUGCGUUUCACAGUCGUCUCCAAAGAUGUCACAGAGGCAGGUGGUCUCGGAAAUAACGUUGCGUUGACCUGGGAUUCUGGUGAUAUCAAAGAUCUCCACACGAUUUGGCCGGUCCCUGUUUUGCAGAUUGAAGGUGUGAGGAGCGCUGCGGAGGAAUGAGUAGCUGUCUCCCUCUAGGACCCAGCUUUCCAUUGCUUUUCUGCCGACCCCAGUGACACAGGAUGCAACGCUGCAGUGUGUAGUUGCGCCAGUACGUUGGCUACUCAGAAACACACACUGCCUGCUCUAGUAAGGGAUGCUGGGGAAAUUCCUGAACAUUGUGAGAUCUGUAAAAUAAAUUGAUGGUGUCAGGCAUUCAGGUAAAAAAUAUGAAUACGUUUUGAUUUAGUUACAUUGUAUAAAUCUUAUAGCUCCAGCAUUCUGGCUCAAAAGUAAACUCCAAGGCCAGAAUAAAUACAACUUUGAGUAGGGACAGAAUCGAUGGUAAAAACACAAAACUACGAAGACCAAAAUGGAAGAAAAGCCAACAUGGCAACAAUCUCUGAUCUCAGAAAUGACUAAUGAAUCAGCAUAUCUAACCAUAGUAUGGCACAAACUAAGGCUUUUAAAAGUACAAAUGGCCAAAAAAUAAGCAUAUUCCAUCAAAAGGUUGCAUUUUAUGUGAGGUGUGAGACAAAGGCAUGCAUAAAUUGUAGGUUGAAAUCUUUUUACUCAUUGUUUCAUUUUACUUUACAUCCUCCUCAACUUACAAAAGUUUAAAUACCCAUAUGAGUAUAAACCUUAAAAUUUAAAAAAUGUGGAUAGUUCCCCUUCCUAACCAACUCUGUAUCAAGUUGACUCAAAUCAAAUGACAAAGUUGCUUGAAUCUCAUUUGCAUGAAUUAAGUAAACACAGCCUCUUGAUUAUACAUCUAAAAUCUAAAAUCUUAAAUCUUAAAUCUUAAUCCUCAAUAUCAGAAUUGCCCAUUUUCAAUGACAGUUACACCGUUCAAGCAUGUCACAAAAUACUUCAAAUAUCAGGCAUGACUAUGUAUUAAUGUUUCGCUGAUUUACAAGUUUAAAUUGACGGACUACUACUAAGUGUACAUAAUACAGUACAGCAAAACCUUCGUUUAUUAUAUAUAAAGAACAAAUACCUGUUCAUUGUAGUUGCAUUCUUUCUGACUCUGAGUUGAAUGGGAGAGCUAUCUCACCCUCACAAGCAUUUAGUGGGAGCAGACGCAGUCUGAACUGAACCUUACCUCAUGCCGAUAGCCCUCCCGAGGGAGUCCUGUGUCUUCAGUCCCUCGCUGACCCCACACUCGGGCCAGUGUCCUCUUCCAGCAUAGUCCAGGAACUUCUGCAGAGUAUCCACCAACUACAGUUGAGUCAGUCUGGCCGCAUAUAGUUGGCCCUUUGAAAGACAUAUUGAUACCACAUUAUAAAAAGAUACAACAUCAUUAAAAGAUCAGAGAUUAGAAAAAGAGGAAGGGAAGGGCACAUUGGCCCCUCCUCUUAAGUCUCUACAAGAAAAGAAGUGCAUAAAUCUGACCUGGAUUUUUUUUGACUGAAGUUUGGCAGAGGCUCCUCAGUCUGUGCUCAGUAUGAGUGUAGGGUUAAAGCUCGCAGCAGGUGCAAGUCCAGCCAGAAAGGAGCAUACCACAGGAAUCUGACACGCUGUGGCAACAGUCACAGGGCCCUCCUAAAUAUAGACCAAUGCUAUCAAGGGAACAAACUGGUGUGUUUGAAGGCAAGGGACACUAAAUGUCAGCUGUAGUGGGGUACAGACAUGAUGAGCAUCACCUCCUGGAGUGUUAAGUUUGAGUCUGACAUACUAAUUAGAGUUAGAAGCCGUUUCAUUGAGUUCCUUAAAGUGCAUUAAAUUCACCACAAUUUGCAUAUGGGCAGGCAGCCAGAUGAAAGCCCUCAGUGUCACAAGAGGAACUUACAAAUACAAAGUCUCUUGGAACAACAGAGACACAAACUCUGGUUCUAACUUUGAAAGACUCAAAAAGCCUUUUUUCAUGAUUUGGGUCUUGAUUCGUUGUUUCAUUGUAAAUGGUUUAUGACAAACACUUUUCGCAGAGUUUUGUCUAUCAUUUUAUCCUUGGUCUAAUUUUAGUGUGUCAAAGCAUUACACUGUACAAACAGGCACUGUCUCGCUCAUGGGGAAAGAAUGUCAGGCACCUUUGCAAUGGGGGCUUUAGCAUGCAACUCCCCAGCAGAUCAAGCUUACUGUCUCCAACCCAAAACUCCAGU